rnacentral:rRNA from 1 species
GAUGAACGCUGGCGGCGUGCCUAAUACAUGCCAGUCGAGCGAACAGACGAUGAGCUUGCUCCUCUGACGUUAGCGGCGGACGGGUGAGUAACACGUGGAUAACCUACCUAUAAGACUGGGAUAACUUCGGGAAACCGGAGCUAAUACCGGAUAAUAUAUUGAACCGCAUGGUUCAAUAGUGAAAGACGGUUUUGCUGUCACUUAUAGAUGGAUCCGCGCCGCAUUAGCUAGUUGGUAAGGUAACGGCUUACCAAGGCGACGAUGCGUAGCCGACCUGAGAGGGUGAUCGGCCACACUGGAACUGAGACACGGUCCAGACUCCUACGGGAGGCAGCAGUAGGGAAUCUUCCGCAAUGGGCGAAAGCCUGACGGAGCAACGCCGCGUGAGUGAUGAAGGUCUUCGGAUCGUAAAACUCUGUUAUUAGGGAAGAACAGAUGUGGAAGUAAAUAUGGAUGUCUUGACGGUACCUAAUGAGAAAGCAACGGCUAACUACGUG